rnacentral:misc_RNA from 1 species
GAUGAAGAACGUAGCGAAAUGCAAUACUUGGUGUGAAUUGCAGAAUCCCGUGAACCAUCGAGUUUUUGAACGCAAGUUGCGCCCGAAGCCGUUAGGCCGAGGGCACGCCUGCCUGGGUGUCACACAUCGUUGCCCCAAUGCCAAUCGCCUCACUUUGUAGGUAUUUGCUUGGGGUGAAUGUUGGCCUCCCGUGAGCUUUGUCUCACGGUUGGUUGAAAAUCGAGUGCAUGGUGUCGGGUGUACCAUGAUGGAUGGUGGUUGAGUGAUGAUGCACGGUGACCCACAUGCGUCCCUUGGAUGCUCCCUAAGGAGACCUCAGGUCAGGCGGGGCUACCCACUGAGUUUAAGCAUAUCAAUAAGCGGAGGA